AUCCGGGCUGCGGACAGUGUCUGGUGGGUAGUUUGACUGGGGCGGUCUCCUCCCAAAGCGUAACGGAGGAGCACGAAGGUUGGCUAAUCCUGGUCGGACAUCAGGAGGUUAGUGCAAUGGCAUAAGCCAGCUUGACUGCGAGAGUGACGGCUCGAGCAGGUGCGAAAGCAGGUCAUAGUGAUCCGGUGGUUCUGAAUGGAAGGGCCAUCGCUCAACGGAUAAAAGGUACUCCGGGGAUAACAGGCUGAUACCGCCCAAGAGUUCAUAUCGACGGCGGUGUUUGGCACCUCGAUGUCGGCUCAUCACAUCCUGGGGCUGAAGUAGGUCCCAAGGGUACGGCUGUUCGCCGUUUAAAGUGGUACGCGAGCUGGGUUUAGAACGUCGUGAGACAGUUCGGUCCCUAUCUGCCGUGGGCGCUGGAGAAUUGAGGGGGGUUGCUCCUAGUACGAGAGGACCGGAGUGAACGCACCGCUGGUGUUCGGGUUGUCAUGCCAAUGGCACUGCCCGGUAGCUAAGUGCGGAAGAGAUAAGUGCUGAAAGCAUCUAAGCACGAAACUUGCCCCGAGAUGAGUUCUCCCUGACCCUUUAAGGGUCCUGAAGGGACGUUGAAGACGACGACGUUGAUAGGCCGGGUGUGUAAGCGCAGCGAUGCGUUGAGCUAACCGGUACUAAUGACCCGUGAGGCUUAACCUUACAACGCCAGAGGCGUUUUG
rnacentral:rRNA from 1 species